rnacentral:sRNA from 1 species
GCUGGGCGUGGUGGCACACGCCUAUAGUUCCAGCUACUCGGGAGGCUGAGACAGGAGCAUUGCUUGAGUCCCAGAGUUUUGGGCUGUAGUGCACUCUGCUGAUCCGGUGUCCCCACUAAGUUAGGUAUCAAUAUGGUGACCUUCCAGGCGCAGGGGCCACCAGGUUGCCUAAGGAGGAGUGAGCUGGCCCAGGUCGGAAGCAGAGCAGGACUACUAUGUUAGUGAAAGAACUUACAGUGUUUCAACUGCUUUUAAACUACAGCUUUUUGACUGU